rnacentral:rRNA from 1 species
GAACUGUCCUAACGUUGUUCGGAAUCACUGGGCUUAAAGGGCGCGUAGGCGGUCCGACAAGUCAGGGGUGAAAUCCUGCAGCUUAACUGCAGAAGUGCCUUUGAUACUGUCGGUCUUGAGGGAAAUAGGGGUGUGCGGAACUUCCAGUGGAGCGGUGAAAUGCGUUGAUAUUGGAAGGAACGCCGGAGGCGAAAGCGGCGCACUGGAUUUCUUCUGACGCUGAGGCGCGAAAGCUAGGGGAGCAAACGGGAUUAGAUACCCCGGUAGUCCUAGCCCUAAACGAUGAGUACUAGAUUGUAGACUAAUCAUGGGUUUACAGUCGAAGCAAAAGUGUUAAGUACUCCGCCUGGGGAGUAUGGUCGCAAGGCUGAA